CGUUAGCUCAGUUGGUAGAGCAGCUGACUCUUAAUCAGCGGGUCGUAGGUUCGAUCCCUACACGG
rnacentral:tRNA from 2 species